GUUUUUUUAAAUACAGCAGCACAUAUACUAAAAUUGGAAGAAUACAGAGACGAUUAUCAUGGCUGCUGCAUGAGGAUAACAUGAAAUUCGUGAAGUGUUCCAUAUUAAA
rnacentral:snRNA from 1 species